GCCCCGGUAAACGGCGGCCGUAACUAUAACGGUCCUAAGGUAGCGAAAUUCCUUGUCGGGUAAGUUCCGACCUGCACGAAUGGCGUAAUGAUGGCCAGGCUGUCUCCACCCGAGACUCAGUGAAAUUGAACUCGCUGUGAAGAUGCAGUGUACCCGCGGCAAGACGGAAAGACCCCGUGAACCUUUACUAUAGCUUGACACUGAACAUUGAGCCUUGAUGUGUAGGAUAGGUGGGAGGCUUUGAAGUGUGGACGCCAGUCUGCAUGGAGCCGACCUUGAAAUACCACCCUUUAAUGUUUGAUGUUCUAACGUUGGCCCGUAAUCCGGGUUGCGGACAGUGUCUGGUGGGUAGUUUGACUGGGGCGGUCUCCUCCUAAAGAGUAACGGAGGAGCACGAAGGUUGGCUAAUCCUGGUCGGACAUCAGGAGGUUAGUGCAAUGGCAUAAGCCAGCUUGACUGCGAGCGUGACGGCGCGAGCAGGUGCGAAAGCAGGUCAUAGUGAUCCGGUGGUUCUGAAUGGAAGGGCCAUCGCUCAACGGAUAAAAGGUACUCCGGGGAUAACAGGCUGAUACCGCCCAAGAGUUCAUAUCGACGGCGGUGUUUGGCACCUCGAUGUCGGCUCAUCACAUCCUGGGGCUGAAGUAGGUCCCAAGGGUAUGGCUGUUCGCCAUUUAAAGUGGUACGCGAGCUGGGUUUAGAACGUCGUGAGACAGUUCGGUCCCUAUCUGCCGUGGGCGCUGGAGAACUGAGGGGGGCUGCUCCUAGUACGAGAGGACCGGAGUGGACGCAUCACUGGUGUUCGGGUUGUCAUGCCAAUGGCACUGCCCGGUAGCUAAAUGCGGAAGAGAUAAGUGCUGAAAGCAUCUAAGCACGAAACUUGCCCCGAGAUGAGUUCUCCCUGAGACUUAGAGUCUCCUGAAGGAACGUUGAAGACGACGACGUUGAUAGGCCGGGUGUGUAAGCGCAGCGAUGCGUUGAGCU
rnacentral:rRNA from 1 species